AGAGUUUGAUCCUGGCUCAGAAUGAACGCUGGCGGCGUGCUUAACACAUGCAAGUCGUACGAGAACGCCCCGAGCUUGCUUGGGGCCAGUAAAGUGGCGCACGGGUGAGUAACGCGUGGGUAAUCUACCCCCGGAUUCGGGAUAACACUUCGAAAGGGGUGCUAAUACCGGAUGAUGUCCAUUAAUUUUCGAAUUAAUGGAUGAAAGAUGGCCAAUCCAUGGAAGCUGUUGUCCGGGGAUGAGCCCGCGUACCAUUAGCUAGUUGGCAGGGUAACGGCCUACCAAGGCGACGAUGGUUAGCUGGUCUGAGAGGAUGAUCAGCCACACUGGAACUGGAACACGGUCCAGACUCCUACGGGAGGCAGCAGUGAGGAAUUUUGCGCAAUGGGGGAAACCCUGACGCAGCAACGCCGCGUGAGUGAAGAAGGCCUUCGGGUCGUAAAGCUCUGUCAAGUGGGAAGAAGUUGUCCAAUGUCAAUAGCAUUGGGCAUUGACGGUACCACCAAAGGAAGCACCGGCUAACUCCGUGCCAGCAGCCGCGGUAAUACGGAGGGUGCAAGCGUUAUUCGGAAUUACUGGGCGUAAAGGGCGCGUAGGCGGCCAUUUAAGUCAGUUGUGAAAGCCCGGGGCUCAACCCCGGAAGUGCAAAUGAAACUGGGUGGCUUGAGUAUGGUAGAGGGAAGUGGAAUUCCUGGUGUAGCGGUGAAAUGCGUAGAUAUCAGGAGGAACACCCGUGGCGAAGGCGACUUCCUGGACCCAAUACUGACGCUGAGGCGCGAAGGCGUGGGGGAGCAAACAGGAUUAGAUACCCCUGGUAGUCCACGCAGUAAAACGGUGAUCACUAGGUGUUGGGGGUAUUGAUACCUUCAGUGCCGCAGCUAACGCAUUAAGUGAUCCGCCUGGGGAGUACGGUCGCAAGGUUGAAACUCAAAGGAAUUGACGGGGGCCCGCACAAGCAGUGGAGCAUGUGGUUUAAUUCGAUGCAACGCGAAGAACCUUACCUAGGCUUGAAAAGCAGUGGACCGGUUGUGAAAGCAACCUUCUCUUCGGAGCCGCUGUACAGGUGCUGCAUGGCUGUCGUCAGCUCGUGCCGUGAGGUGUUGGGUUAAGUCCCGCAACGAGCGCAACCCCUACCAUUAGUUGCCAUCAGGUAAUGCUGGGCACUCUAAUGGGACUGCCUACGCAAGUAGUGAGGAAGGUGGGGAUGACGUCAAGUCAGCAUGGCCCUUACGCCUAGGGCUACACACGUGCUACAAUGGGUACUACAAUGGGUCGCGAAGCCGCGAGGUGGAGCCAAUCUCAUAAAAGUAUCCUCAGUUCGGAUUGGAGUCUGCAACUCGACUCCAUGAAGCCGGAAUUGCUAGUAAUCGCGCAUCAGCACGGCGCGGUGAAUACGUUCCCGGGCCUUGUACACACCGCCCGUCAAGCCAUGGAAGCCGGGAGUACCCGAAGUCAGUGACCCAACUUUCGAGAGGGAGCUGCCUAAGGUAAAACUGGUGACUGGGGCUAAGUCGUAACAAGGUA
rnacentral:rRNA from 1 species